UUGACCUCAAAUCGGGUGAGACUACCCGCUGACUUA
rnacentral:rRNA from 1 species